UACGAAGGGUGCAAGCGUUACUCGGAAUUACUGGGCGUAAAGGGUGCGUAGGUGGUUUGUUAAGUCUGCUGUGAAAUCCCCGGGCUCAACCUGGGAAUGGCAGUGGAUACUGGCAAGCUAGAGUGCGGUAGAGGGUAGUGGAAUUCCUGGUGUAGCGGUGAAAUGCGCAGAUAUCAGGAAGAACACCCGUGGCUAAGGCGGCUCUCUAGUACGGUACUGACGCUGAGACGCGAAAGCGUGGGGAGCGAACAGG
rnacentral:rRNA from 1 species